CCUCCUUCACCUUCUUCAGUUGCCUCAUCACCCAUGAUUCUUCAUGCUGAUUAUCUCCUUUCUGUCGGUUCAGAAGAUGCCUAUUUUCAUAGUCAUUGUUUUGAUGCCAUUUGAAGGAGAAGAGCUGAAAGCAAUAGCUGUAGACCUCUCUCCUUCAUAAUCAUGCCCUCCUUGUUCAUGCUCCAUUAUUGGUGAAUAGGAAGUGGCCAUUACACGCGCACACACACACACACACAGAGACAGAGG
rnacentral:misc_RNA from 1 species